UUUUAUUUGAGAGUUUGAUCCUGGCUCAGGAUGAACGCUGGCGGCGUGCCUAACACAUGCAAGUUGAGCGAUUUACUUCGGUAAAGAGCGGCGGACGGGUGAGUAACGCGUGGGUAACCUACCCUGUACACACGGAUAACAUACCGAAAGGUAUGCUAAUACGGGAUAAUAUAUUUGAGAGGCAUCUCUUGAAUAUCAAAGGUGAGCCAGUACAGGAUGGACCCGCGUCUGAUUAGCUAGUUGGUAAGGUAACGGCUUACCAAGGCGACGAUCAGUAGCCGACCGGGGAGGGUGAUCGGCCACAUUGGAACUGAGACCCGGUCCAACCGCCUCCGGGAGGCAGCAGUGGGGAAUAUGGGCCAAGGGGCGAAAGCCUGAUGCAGCAACGCCGCGUGAGUGAUGAAGGCCUUCGGGUCGUAAAACUCUGUCCUCAAGGAAGAUAAUGACGGUACUUGAGGAGGAAGCCCCGGCUAACUACGUGCCAGCAGCCGCGGUAAUACGUAGGGGGCUAGCGUUAUCCGGAUUUACUGGGCGUAAAGGGUGCGUAGGCGGUCUUUCAAGUCAGGAGUGAAAGGCUACGGCUCAACCGUAGUAAGCUCUUGAAACUGGGAGACUUGAGUGCAGGAGAGGAGAGUGGAAUUCCUAGUGUAGCGGUGAAAUGCGUAGAUAUUAGGAGGAACACCAGUUGCGAAGGCGGCUCUCUGGACUGUAACUGACGCUGAGGCACGAAAGCGUGGGGAGCAAACAGGAUUAGAUACCCUG
rnacentral:rRNA from 1 species